rnacentral:rRNA from 1 species
AUUGAACGCUAGCGGCAGGCCUAACACAUGCAAGUCGAGCGAGCGGCGGACGGGUGAGUAAUGUAUGGGGACCUGCCCGAUAGAGGGGGAUAACUACUGGAAAAGGUGGCUAAUACCGCAUACUAUCGGAUGAACCCAUAUGGGAUUAGCUAGUUGGUGGGGUAAAGGCUUACCAAGGCAACGAUCCCUAGCUGGUUUGAGAGGAUGACCAGCCACACUGGGACUGAGACACGGCCCAGACUCCUACGGGAGGCAGCAGUGGGGAAUUGUGGACAAUGGGGGCAAGCCUGAUGCAGCCAUACCGCGUGUAUGAAGAAGGCCUUAGGGUUGUAAAGUACUUUCAGCGGGGAGGCGUUACCCGCAGAAGAAGCACCGGCUAACUCCGUGCCAGCAGCCGCGGUAAUAC